rnacentral:misc_RNA from 1 species
UCCGAGUUGACCCCGGCAGUCUCCUACGAGUCCCCGGCAUUACCCGCUGGCAACAUAGGACGAGGGUUGCGCUCGUUGCGGGACUUAACCCAACAUCUCACGACACGAGCUGACGACAACCAUGCACCACCUGUACGCAGCCCUUGCGGACCCGACAUCUCUGCCGGAUUUCUGCGUAUGUCAAGCCUUGGUAAGGUUCUUCGCGUAACAUCGAAUUAAGCAACACGCUCCGCUGCUUGUGCGGGCCCCCGUCAAUUCCUUUGAGUUUUAGUCUUGCGACCGUACUCCCCAGGCGGGGCACUUAAUGCGUUAGCUACGGCACGGAAUCCGUCGAUAGAACCCCACACCUAGUGCCCAACGUUUACGGCGUGGACUAC